CGCACUAAAAAAUGUGCGAAAAAAGACAUUUUUCGUCAUACUAUUGCAUAAAAUAAUUUUAUUCAUUUCAAGAGAUAUUUGUUUUGUGAUUGCUGUUUCCGUAAUCGCGGCUAAAGGUUUCUCAAGAAUAGAACACUUCAAGGUUGUCUUGAGGAAAGGCCUAAUAAACAAUUUUAAUUUCAUUUUCAAUUAUUCAUAAUUGCCGAUUGUAAAAAUCGAUCAUUGCUACUGUUACAGUACCGAGCUGAAUUUCGAUGUGUGUUCGUGUUUGAGUUUCCUCUACCCUAAAUCAGCUAGCAGUAGUUGAUCCCAAUUAGACCUCUUCACGUAUGCAUUGCAAAUGAGUUCGUACUUUUAACUAAAUUUUCAAUGCACGUUCUCGAGGUUACAUAAGUUUGUUCAUUUAUUGGUAAAAAUAUAGGAAAUAAAGCGGAUUGUCGAUCUUGAAUCGUGAAACUUUUCCGUUUCAGAAGUUUCGGUUUUAAUCAAAAUGUUUUGAAAUGGGUUUCAUUUUAUUUUAGUCGAUAAAUUUAUAUAUAUAGUUUAUAUGACAGAUGAAAAGGAUAAAGCCCGCAACGAGUACGUCGCUCAAUAAGUAAUGGUAUUAAAGUACAAAAGUAAAUAAAAAUCUCAAUAGCAUCGAAAAAAAUCGACAAUAAAAUCAAUAUUCUUGCUCCUCUUUGUAUAUCACUGUUUAUAACUUCGUUUUCUUCGAAUAAACCGAAUGCCGGGGGCUGUUGCCACGCGAAAAAUACAUCCGAAUUUAACGUGGGCAAAAAAAGGGAUAAAGACAUGAUGUAUACUUCAAUGAAAAUACCCUUCAAGCACACAGUAUACUCUAUUUUCCAGCGUUUUCACGUUCACGCAUACAGGAAAUUAUUGGCUCGGCGCGACCGUCAUUUAUAUAGAACCUCUGCGCGUGCAUAUUUAUCGAUACGAACUCGCAUCUUUCAGCCAUUAGGAAAAAUUCACGUUUUUUCCAUUCAGUUUUUUCACGGUGGCCGGAUUAACGAUUUGAACGUAUGAAUGCAAAUGUAAUUACGUUUCGAAAUGUUUCGAAUACUUCAUAUAGUGGGUAUACAACUCGAAGUAGUUUUGAUGAUAUAAUUCACCGUGACAGUUAAAUUAGUAAAAUUUACCUCACACAAAAUCAGUUGAAAUCGUUAGAAGUUUAGGCGGUCGCCAAACUUUUCACGUAUGUGCCACGUAGCUAAGUUCAUGCUUAACAUAUUUAUUCAUGAACUUGAUGAGAGAAAACUAGAGAGAAUCUUGCCGACGGCCAUGAGUACACAUUACAUCAAACAUUUACUCAAUAACUUGAUCUUCGUGAGCCUGAAAUCCGGCAACCGGAUGGGUAUCCCCCGUGGAGUCAACUCACACAUGCACACACACAUAUACGCACGUCACCCACAGAUGCAUCCGUUGUAAAGUGCGAAAUUAAUUAUCAAGCGGAUACGUCGACUACACCGAAAGUACGAUCGCCAUAAUUAAGCGUCGCGCGACGAGGGUGACGUACGCUCAACUAUUUUCAUUAUUGUUGCUUUUAAUUAAUUCCAUACUAUCGGUACGGACUUUUUUCGUUAAUACGAAUCGAUUUGAAUUUUGGAUGAAAAUUUUAGGCGAUGAUGAAAAUUUAUUUUGAAAGUUACACGAUUUUGGAUUAAAAUUGUGCACUUUGUGUUUAGCACGACUUUUACACGGAAAAGCGAUUGGCUCGUGAAAGAUAAAGCUACGAGAACUACAAAACACGAUGCAGACUUACACCACAGGAGAUCGUGUUGCUUAACCUUUUCUGAAGCUGCUUUACGAAAAGCGAAGCAAAUCUCCCCUGUGCUACACAGUAUCUACCACAUUUUCUAGCCAUUGCAGCUUCCUACAAAUUUCGCACGAUCAUGCACUCGAAAACGUUAAGUAGUCUUAGCAAUUGACGAAGCUGCUUGCUCUUUCGUAGUGCAAUAUUUUUGUGUUUAAUAUUUCACGGAUCAAUCACUUUUCCGUGUAUAAAAAUGUUGAUGAUUUAUUUAGAAAAACAAUUAAGUAUUGGAUCGAUAAAGGAGUUUUAAUUAAAUACCGCAAGAUACGAGCAACGAAUCUCUAAGACAUUCGAAGCGCAACAAAAAAGACCCUUCUUUUUAAUCGGUCGGGGCCGACAAUUCACCUGUAUGCCCUUUUUUCUCUAUUCACACAUGCAGUUCGCAUUCAUAUAAUUUUAGAGCUAAUCCAAUGAAUUUCUCGCUUUGUAAGCUCGAGUUUUAAUAUCGAUUGAUACUCACUUGUGUAAAGCAAAAGUAGAAGGAAUGGAUUUUCCUUUGAAUUAUUAUUCCCUUUAUAAUGAUAGCAUUUCAAUUGGUAGCGCUGUAUGAAAUGGCCAAUGUUUUUUGUUGUUUACCAAAGCCUCAGAAAUCGGGCCGCUCUCGCGAAUCUAAAGCCCACGCACACAUAGCAGGCAGGAAAUUCAAUAAAAUUCAAAAUGGAAAUACGUCUCUUUUUGGCUUUUCAUCUUUCUCGCCGUUCGAUCCCUUUGCACAUGGAUGUAUUGACACGAGCACGAAGCAGCACGCGUCGUCAAAUUCCCACCUAAACUUUUCACUGUUCUCUGUUUUGCUGUUAUUGCAUGCUGCAUAUGCAUACGUACGGUCGUGCGCGCGAAUAAAAGCCUUUGCCAAAGUACGCAGGCAUGCUCACGUAUAUAUUAUAUAGGUGCACUGCCAGCCUCGGGACUGCUACCGCGCAGUCUGUGCGCUGCAGCUUGCAGGAAUAUUUAAAAGUUGCCUCAAAGUAAUAUUGGAAAAUCUGUACCGACUGCCAGCUCGACAAUUUAUGCGUAUCAAUUAUUUGCAAGUGACGACUACUCUGCAAUGGUUCAGCGUCUUAUUUCUGAUGCGAAAUUGGAGAAGCCCUUGGCGCGCUGCAAGUGCCCGGCCGAGCAUUUAUUGAUGCCAGCUCUCAGAGGACAUCAGUGACACGAAGAAAAUUUGAGUGCCAUCGGCUGCACGGAAGCGCCCACGGUAUAAUUAGCAGAUAAAAUAGCUGCGCGAGUCUUUGAAGAUUGAUACUCGAUGGCCUGCAUCUUAGCUACCGACUUGUUCGAUUCAGGGCUUGGGAAAAAAUAGCUCGUUGACGAGUUGAAAUAUAAAAAUAAAAAGACUCACCGAAGACAGCAUCUUUUAGUAUAUUAUUAAUUUGCCACGCGAACUCGAUGGAGUUUUCUCAUAGCUUUUGUAAAAUGUGCGAGAAAAAUGUACGUACGAGAGAGCAAAAAAAAUUUUAUAGGCCACCGAGAGCUGUAUACAUGCUUACGAUCAACAGCGUCAGCCGUUGCAAAUAUGUACUGCACUUUAAUGAGUAAAGCUAUUUUCCGCCGUUCCGUCGUUAAAAUAGCCACCUAUUUGUGCUGCACUGUCGAUUAUGCACAAACAGUACACGUACGCCGUUUGGAAUAAUAAUGCGGGGGUGAAAUUAACCAAAGCACAACACACAGAUUUUAAUGUUUAUAUACAUCAAAUCGUAUUGGAUCUUUAUUAUAAUGUUUUUUCUCGAAGUUCGUAUGAAUGACAUUGUAUUAAAAAUGCUGAUGACAAGUACAUCGCUCACACGCGCACAUUUAUACACGUACAACAUACGAUCAAAAGCUGGUUUUUUUUCUUCUUUCCAUUUUCUUUACAACAGCAAACAAGCAGCAAUAUGAUAAUUUUUCCACAAAAAAACGAUCAAAUCAAUCGAUCGUGCGCAAAUUCAUACAUGACAGUCAAUACGGAGCGAAAUUCAUUCUAAUAAAGCUGCACGCUUGGCUCGUUCUGUCAGACAUAUAUUCCGCUCCACGCGACAGAGUUAACAAAUAAUAUUAUCCUACAUGGAUAUUAUCCUCUCUGGCUCGAGUCAACUCGAUUCAAAUGCAUUUGCGCGUACAUAGAUACGGUUUUAUUAUCCGAUACAUGCCAUUUAUGCAUCUGCUGUCCAUUUGCGCGUACUUGGCGCAUUAUGUGCUGGGCGAAAAAUUAUUAUAACAAUCAUCUAAAUGUGCAACGAUCCGCAUUAUGUAUAAUGUAUAAUACGUUACGAUCUGUUUGUGUAUGUGUGCGUGUGUAUAAUGAGUAUACACGUCAGUGUCACGUGAUUAUUGCAAUAAAACCGAUUUAUUUAUCCUUA